rnacentral:rRNA from 1 species
AUUGAACGCUGGCGGCAGGCCUAACACAUGCAAGUCGAACGAGUGGCGGACGGGUGAGUAAUGUCUGGGAAACUGCUUGAUGGAGGGGGAUAACUACUGGAAACGGUAGCUAAUACCGCAUACCAUCAGAUGUGCCCAGAUGGGAUUAGCUUGUUGGUGGGGUAACGGCUCACCAGGGAGACGAGCCCUAGCUGGUCUGAGAGGAUGACCAGACACACUGGAACGGAGACACGGUCCAGACUCCUACGGGAGGCAGCAGUGGGGAAUAUGGCAAAAUGGGCGAAAGCCUGAUGAAGCCAGGCCGGGUGUAUGAAGAAGGCCUUCGGGUUGUAAAGUACGUUCAGCGGGGAGGCGUUACCCGCAGAAGAAGCACCGGCUAACUCCGUGCCAGCAGCCGCGGUAAUUC